GACGAACGCUGGCGGCGUGCCUAAUACAUGCAAGUCGAGCGAAGUUUUUCUGGUGCUUGCACCGGAAAAACUUAGCGGCGAACGGGUGAGUAACACGUAAAGAACCUGCCUUAUAGACUGGGACAACUAUUGGAAACGAUAGCUAAUACCGGAUAACAGCAUUAACUGCAUGGUUGAUGUUUGAAAGUUGGUUUUGCUAACACUAUGAGAUGGCUUUGCGGUGCAUUAGCUAGUUGGUGGGGUAAAGGCCUACCAAGGCGACGAUGCAUAGCCGACCUGAGAGGGUGAUCGGCCACACUGGGACUGAGACACGGCCCAGACUCCUACGGGAGGCAGCAGUAGGGAAUCUUGCGCAAUGGGCGAAAGCCUGACGGAGCAACGCCGCGUGAGUGAAGAAGGAUUUCGGUUCGUAAAGCUCUGUUGUUAGGGAAGAAUGAUUGUGUAGUAACUAUACACAGUAGAGACGGUACCUAAACAGAAAGCCACGGCUAACUACGUG
rnacentral:rRNA from 1 species